rnacentral:lncRNA from 1 species
GUUUGGUCCAUCGCAGGUUAUCUGUAUUUCCAUACCCCCUUAUUGUUCUCCUUUGCCUGACCUUCGGCUUGCAAGGUAUGUUGUCCUUGGCUCCGAAAUUGUUCAAUAUAAAACCGUGGUAAUGUUACACAAGGUACUGUUAUGCACCAUAAAUUUGUUACAAUGUGGAUAAUAUAAAUUAUCCUAAUUAAAAGUACACAAUGCAGAACGAACCACGCUACAUAGGCAUAUAUAAACAAUGUAUUUAACUUGUAAACCAAGGUUGGAUUAGUUGGUCUGAACAACAUGCAAUCCGAUAAUCGCGUCAUGAAUCGGGAUGGGCUCCUACAUCCUCAUAUACACAUUAUGACAUAAUAAAGAGUUUAAUCUUUCACGAAAUAAAGACAAAGAAGCAUACCCAUUUAUACAGGUUCUACACAUUCCAUUUCUCCAUGGCAAUAGAAUGUAAACAUUCUAUUUUGCGCCAAACAUCCCUACAACUCAAUUCUAAGUGCAGCAUAUUGGACGACUCCACAGUCAUUGAUCAUUCGCGACUUUAAGUCACUCCUGUUAUCUCUAGAGCAUCCCGUAUAUCUAUAGCGCUGCAUUUCUUCCCCAUCUUACCAUGGAUAGGGUUUGGUGCUUUCCGGAGUUCACUUAUGGUCCCACAAAGGUAAUCUUUGGAGAAAUUAAUUUUAGCAUACUGUAAAUGCCUGUGCAUAAUGUGCAUAACAAAGCAUCAUUAUUUUCAUUAUCUUCAAAGGAUUUCUGUAGAAGCAGCCUUUAUUUUCAGACUCUGCAGGCCUGCUGGGAGGAAACAUAUUACAAUAAACAGAAGAAGCUCAUGGUCCACUAUCUGCUGCUCCAGAGUCAAGGCCAGGUCCCUCCCCAUGUCACCACGGAGCACAUGAGCAACUGGCUGGUGUCUCAGGGCAAAAAAUCUCUUAGGGAGAGGUGAGUACCACGUCAGCACUCACAUUCACUGCCAUUCCCUGCCACCAGCAGCACUCCAGGAGGUGUGGGAAAAAUAAACAACAGAAAAAUCAGAAGGCAGGAAAGUUGAAUUGCUCUGUGUUUUAUUUGAAGGGUGUGGAAGGAAACCCUGGAGGAAGGAAACGACCUCGCUCGGCUGGUAAGAGAAUGAGAGUUAGAGACAAACUACAAGUUAGUGAGCUCUUUACUAGCCUUUCAACAACGAGUUAGCACAGCAGAAUAGAUCUGUUGUGAAAUUACACCAAUGGGACUUCCUGUUUCAUACUGCAGGCCUGGGAAGUAAACACUUGCCUAAAAAUGAUGAACAUAGAGCACGAGGCUUUCUGCAAGCUCCGCCGCUCCAUGCACCCCACCUCGCCAGCUGACAUGUGAGUUCCAUGUACUGCCCUGCAUAUGACUUGAUCCAUUUAUCUACACAUCUGGAACUACGCAGAAACAGACUAAGGCGGUGUUCUAAGUGAGUACAUUGCACAUCGUUUACCUUUGUUUUCUCCUUUUUGUUGAUUUCAGCGAUCCGAAGGUCCACAGCAUCGUGGAGAAAGCUGUGAGAAGCAUUCUGGGCGAGCAGUCCAAUGAGCCCCGUAGCAACCUGCUCAGCCCAUCUCAGGUGGUGGUGGAGGUGGUGCCCAGGCUCCUCCUGGCCCUGUGGCUUCAGCCAGAGGAAGGCCAUUCAGAGC